rnacentral:rRNA from 1 species
GACAGAGGUGGCGAGCGUUGUUCGGUGUCACUGGGCUUAGAGCGUGUGUAGGCGGGAAAGUAAGGGCUUUGUGAAAUCCCCCGGCUUAACCGGGGAAUUGCUUGGCGAACUGCUUUUCUUGAGGCAAGUAAGGGUGCGAGGAACUCUUGGUGGAGCGGUGGAAUGCGUAGAUAUCAAGAGGAACGCCGGUGGGGAAGACGUCGCACUAGGCUUGUCCUGACGCUGAGACACGAAAGCGUGGGGAGCAAACGGG